UGGAACAUGACAGCCAUUAUCAACAUGACACGUUAAUGAAGCUAUGAUUUUUGAGACAUUUUGUUUGUAAUGAAUUGUUUGGGGUUUUUUUAUUUAUAAAAUUGGGUUGGGCUUGUUUUGGGUGCUUUUUCAGUUUUUUAUGUUGGGUUUCUUUUAAGUUGAUCAGUGGCAGUCACAUAAUUUAUAGGAACUUCAACACCAAUUUCUUAUGUAGUAAAUGGGUUUUGGAUGUAUUUCAAAAGUGCAUUCCAUGUGGGGGGUUUUUUUUUUUUUUUUUUUUACAAUUUCAGCCCAUAUGUUGGGUGUAUUAGUGAAGCUUCCUAAAAAGUUCACCUUACUUAAUCUCUUCAAGCAUGUUGUAGUUUGGUUUUGAGUAUUAUAGCAGGAUUAAGCCUUUUAAUAAAUUACAAUUUACAGAACCAACUUUAUCAGCAGUGCUCCUUAUUACUUCUUAGAAACACUAAGCUAAUGCAAUUCAAUCUCUCUGGAUUCCAAGAUAUUUUGGAGGAUGCUGAAAGAACACAAGGUCACUUACUUUGAGCCUGUUUAUAAAGGCACACCCUUUUUGCAACAAAGACAUUCUUUUUGCCCAAUGGGAUGUAUGUGGAUCUAAAAUUAACCCUUUGGAUGUUUUGUUGCCUAAAUUUAUGCAAGCUAGACUGAUGUUAGAUAUGUAUUUGCUUUUCUGAAAGAAGCAGUGUGAAACUAUGAAUUGUUUGAUGUAAUACUAGAUUAUCCC
rnacentral:lncRNA from 1 species